ACAAAGAAAACUGCUUGUAACCAUAUAAGGAAGUUCCUCCUCUUAAACAGACAUGAACAUGCUUGUGCGGGACCCUUAUAAAAGCGUCUUCUCUCCUCAGGUCAGCAACAAGCUCACCUCAAAGCUCAGGAGAGACACCUGAACCCAGCGAUUUCAGCAGGAACAAUGGCCAACAUUGGUAAUACCACGGACGUAAAGAUGGGCUCCAACACAGGGGACGUUGGUUCCAAAAAUACCUUCGGCAUUCAAGGAUGUGGUGGACCCAAUGUUUCUGGUCACCUCUGGCAUCACUGUCGGAGGAAAUAAUUCAGGAAACAUUGGAUCAGGCAACAAAUUUGAUAUAACAGGCGACGCUGUUUCUAACUCCGGAUCCAUUGGUUCAGGGAAUUACUUCAAAUGAGCUAAGGAAAUCGGCCUCCAACUCUUCUGAAAACAAUGCACCAUGGGUUGAAUGUUGAAUUCAUGAUUUCAAAUCAACAGAAAGAGUCAGUGAUCCGAUGAAUGUAAAGGAAAUAUGAGUGAAAAUAAAAUAGAGUACUUGCUCUA